GCAAGUCGAGCGAGACCUUCGGGACAGUGGCGGACGGGUGAGUAACGCGUGGGAAUCUGCCCUUAGGAGGGGGAUAACGGUUGGAAACGACCGCUAAUACCCCAUAUGCCGAGAGGUGAAAUGAAAUUCGCCUGAGGAUGAGCCCGCGUCUGAUUAGCUAGUUGGUGGGGUAAAGGCCUACCAAGGCGACGAUCUGUAGCUGGUCUGAGAGGACGAUC
rnacentral:rRNA from 1 species